AGUCGUGCGGANCUUUUAAAAGCUUGCUUUUAAAAGGUUAGCGGCGGACGGGUGAGUAACACGUGGGCAACCUGCCUGUAAGACCGGGAUAACGCCGGGAAACCGGGGCUAAUACCGGAUAGUUUUUUCCUCCGCAUGGAGGAAAAAGGAAAGGCGGCUUCGGCUGCCACUUACAGAUGGGCCCGCGGCGCAUUAGCUAGUUGGUGGGGUAAUGGCCCACCAAGGCAACGAUGCGUAGCCGACCUGAGAGGGUGAUCGGCCACAUUGGGACUGAGACACGGCCCAAACUCCUACGGGAGGCAGCAGUAGGGAAUCUUCCGCAAUGGACGAAAGUCUGACGGAGCAACGCCGCGUGAGUGAAGAAGGCCUUCGGGUCGUAAAACUCUGUUGCCGGGGAAGAACAAGUGCCGUUCGAACAGGGCGGCGCCUUGACGGUACCCGGCCAGAAAGCCACGGCUAACUAC
rnacentral:rRNA from 1 species